GAGCAUAAUCAAGAUCGCCGGGAUCCCAUUACAAUGUUAAUAUAACACGUACAGUACGUAUAGUACAUACACAAGGGGUUUGUAUAAGUGUGCAAAUAUUUUCAUGAGUCAGAGUAUAUGUUGGAGGCAAUUAUUCACAGUAUACGCGAACGUUUUACUGAAAAUGAGCGAGAUAUUUUCAAUAAAUGUGUUGCAACUUCCGUAAACCUUUCUAAAUUCGUUUCCAACUUUACCGCUAUAAUCGCGAUAGACGCGUUUCGUUACGUUACCGAUGGAAUUACAAAACGUUUCCUAUAAUACCGCAUUACGGUUUCUACGAGCGUUCCAAUACCGAGCUGCUACUUCUAUAUCACGUCUGUUUUCAAUAAAUUUCCAUUUAAAAAAGAACAAAUAAAUAUGUGUAUAUAUGUUGCAGUGGAAUCGCUAAAUCGAAAUAGCCGACACACAACAAACUCUGUUCCCUCGCAGGUACAAAAACGUGCAUAGAAUGUCGAACGAAUCGAGACCAAUUAGCGGAAUGGCAAAGAAUGUUAAGCGCCGCGACACCAUUCGUCGCCUCUCUAUUCAUGUGUUCUCCCCGUCCAUGCACUCGCCGCCGCUUUUCGCGCGAUAUUCCCUCUCCCACGUCACCGUUAUUAGCGGCAGCCUGUUUUCUCCCUUUUAACGACUCCCGUCAAUGUCAAUGCCAGAAACGCGUACCGCGAGAUUCUCUCUUCGAGUUUGUUUACGAUCAGGAGGAGAGAGAGGGAGAGAGAGAGAGAGAGAGAUGGAGAGAAAAAAAAGAGGUGGACAAAAGACGAAAAAGAUGGAUGCAUAUGCCACUCUAUUAACAUAAUUAUUGCGAAAACCUUGGAGAUACAUACUAUCCUCGCGUAAACUCGACGCAAAUCGAGGCGGUUUGCCGACAGCGAGCGUGUCGUGGGCAUCGAUCGAUGAAUGGUGUUCUCGCGACCAUAGUGGCGCUCGCCUCGAAAACCGUACAUUUUUCACCGGAAACGGGUUAACUCUUUGACGGUGCAAUAAGGCGAUGAAUAAUUCAGAGCGAACGAUUUAGAAGAUAAUUUGUCUUAUUAUUCUUAAGGUCUGCUGCGUUUCUGAUAUCAGAUUUCUUCGAAUCAAACUCGAAGAUAAUUGUUAGAAAUACGAAUUUACUUUAGCGUUGAAGCACGUAAAUUUGAAAUAUUUGUCUCGUUUAACUCGUCGACGGUGUAAUUAAAUUACUAUAGAAUGUGAAACGAACAAUUUAGAAAAUAAUUAUGUAACUCGCUAUUCUUAACUCUGCCGCGGUCCUCGAGUUGUUUAUGUCUUAAUCUUACUUUAGCUUCAACCUUAGUUUCGAUCCUGCUUGAAACGAGAAAUCACGCGUAUAAAUAACAGGUCUUUCGUGUUUUGCUCAAAUUUAGGACAAUUUUCUAGCGAUGAACGUACGGUACGCUUGAAAAUGGCUCAAAAGAACCAGCGGCGCGUUAAAACGCGCUUUCCACCGAAAUGGAAAUACCGAUCGUAUAAUAAGCAGAUUGAGCGGAUGGUGAGCUUGCUCCAGAUAUUCUGCAACGAGGUUUAAAGGAAUUCGGCAUUUAUGAAGAGCAACGUGCGAGGAAGCGGAGUCAUCGACGUACGAAACGAGUUCGAAAGGAUUGUAUGAAAUUCAUGGGCGUGUUUUAUGUUCCGAGAUUAAGAGGUGGGGGACAAACGGACGAGAAUUCGAGAACGUUUCGCGUUCGUGGUACAACAGCCUCUUAAUCGAAUAACAGGUGUUCGAAAUGGCCUCACCAGGACUGGUUUACGUCGAUACUUCGUAUCGUCCGAAUCUCGAUGCACGCCAACUCUUGCGCAUCUGUUUGACACGUAAAAAAAAAGAGGGGUUAUAAAUAUAGUGGCUUCGCGUUCAUUCCCGCUCCUAGGAGAAGUUAAAAGUUGCUCGGCGUAUAAUUCACGCGGUAGCUUUAAGUGGUGAUAUUUUAGAAACAGUACCCGAUAUUUAUUACGUUGCCAUUUUGAAUUUUUCGCCUGAGAUAUGUCUAUAAAUACGUAGGCAUUUAUUUUCGAGUUACCAUAUGAUGAUUACAGGCAGAGGAUGUAAUAAUUACAACUUUGCUAACUUCCUGAUUUUUACGUUACUUAGUGGCGAAAAGAGGGCACUUUAAUAUACCGUGGCUAAAAAGACAUAAUUAAGAGGCGCAACCUACCCGGUCCGAGGAUGUAAGUUCUUUAGCGAUGGAUAUGAAGUUAUAUGAGAGAAAUUAACGGCAUACGGUAACGGAUUUUAAAAUUGUUUUCAUAUAUAUAGAAAUAAACACAAUUAACAUGGAAUUUUUCUAGCGUACAGCACAUACCGCAGCAUAUUCCCGCUCAUGGUUCCCUUUGCCGUGUUUUUUCCUUUUUUCUAUUCUAUUUUCCUAUUUCAAUAGAAGAAGCCAUUCCAUUAGUCGCGGUGAUACAAUACUCUUCAAGGAAUUUUAACAUAUCAUCGUCAUUAAUAUCUGCGUACGAAGUAAAAAGGCAAAGAAAAAAAGAAGAAAAACAACUAUAGUAAACAACUUGGUAAGGAGCAGACAGUAAACGACAGGAAAAGACACGCCUACGACAAUUAAAGGCUUAAACGCAUCAUUCUAAUGUGACCAUUAAAAGAGUCAUACCACCAUCUUCUUUCCUUGUAAUGAUCGUUGAAUCUAAGCGAUUCGAGCAUUGCUUGCGCUACAGGAGACAAACAAGGGGAAGAAACAGAACAUAGAAAAAAAAACAAGAUAAAAGAUUAGAGAAAAAGAGGGAGAGAGAGAGGGGGAGAGGGGAGAAGAAGGCGGAUACAAGCAAAUAAAAUCCGCGUUAAGACAGUAAGCAAACGAACGGCGUUUGCGGUGUAAAUGCGGCUUAAAGAUCGACGCCGCACGAAACAAGCUCGCCCACUCUCAUCGGGCGGAAAACUGCGCUAUCAUCCUUCUACACCACAAUGAUCUUGACAGUGACCGUAGCGAUCAAUGGCGCCGUCAAUUAGGCGAAUCGCGUACUCGGGUUUAUGGCUCGGUGGCCAACGUAUCGAGGAUGUCGAGCCACGCGUUAUCCUGGAAAUUUGACGACCACUCGCGAUGUCCAUGUAACAUCGUUCACGCGCUUCUUUCAUUCUACUUUGCGUCUCAGUUCGAAAACUGGAUAUGACCAACUGAGAACUACGCGCAGGAAUAAUAAUAAUAAUAAAUAAUAAUAAUAAUAAUAAAUAAAUAAUAAUAAACCUGAAAAAAGAAAUAGUUUAUCAUAGCGAUGUAUCAUAUCCAUUAUAUGCAUCCGAAGAAAAUAAAUAGCGAAAAGUUAUCAUAAGAAAGAAAAUAAUGUAUAGAUUAGAUAAAAUUCUAAUUCUCUAAAAAUGUGUUAUCAUUGUCUAAUUUAUCUUCAACUUUACUAUAAAGUUUCACCAACAAAAACCAAUAGCUUCCCGAGAUUCGUCUAUUUACUUUAUUGUAUUCAUAUGCAAAUCGUGACUGUGUUACGUUCUGGAGAAAGGAGAGAUUAAAUUAUGCGAUUCAAAAUAAAUAAUGACUACACCGGCAUUCAAUAACUACGAUACUACGAAGAGACAGGCGAAAGAAUUUCCGGGAGAGAAUAAAAUCAUAGUAAUCUUUGUACACACGAUAUGACAAGAUCGAUCUAAGGAACAUCUUCUUGUAUUAUAAAACGCUUUUCGAGAACUGAAAUAUUUGUUCACGGAGCAUCGUUCCAGGGGAACGCGUCGCUUUAUAAUAUCGUUGAACUAGCUUGGUUGCCUUCGCGAACGCGAACCCUUUUAUCUCUUUGAAGCUGGUCGGGUUAGAGAGCAGGCCCCGCUUAAUGCAAUAACGUUAAUGCAUCACCAGACGAUUUUUAUUUCGUCCGCACAAAGCAGGCCGGCCUUGAAGCGCGGCCGGAAACAAGGUGGAUCGGUGUUAUUGCAAAUCUCCGAGCAGUGAAUCGCGUUAAAGAGAAGGAUGGAGUAAAAAACAACUAAAGCUCAUCGAUAAUCGUUGAACAUAGCACUCUAACAAAUAGAUUUCCAACGUUAAAGGUUUCGUUUGUUGUCGAACGACUCUCGAAUCGAAUUUCUCGCUAAAUUCUACUAUCGUUAGGACCAGGGUAGAAAAUAAGUAGUUAAAGUAAGUUAAAGUCGAAUCGAACGGGAUAAACGGAAGGGAUGGGGAGGGAGGUGCAAGACCCGUGAGAACCCUCCAGGAAACCGGAAGUGUACGAAAUUAGUCCAAUUUCGUGCGCGACAAGUGGAAAAACGUCGGCCACUGGCAGUGGCGACUCCACUCUCGAGGGCACACGCGUGCCGCAACGGGAAUCCGCUAGGUGACUCGCGUGUGUAUUCAUCGCUUAAACCCCGAUUAGCCUGCUAGAGGGCCUAAUAACGAGUAAUACCCUAGUCGCGUCAUCGAGUUUAAACAGAUUUCGCAACAGCUAGCGAUCUCUUAUGCACAUACGUUCGGACUGACUUGACUGCCUGUUUGGCUGCUGAUUCCCCUUUAAAACCUAACCAAAUGUUCUAACAUAGGCGAAUUACCAUUUCUACGAAAAUCAAUUCGUUCCUCAAUCUACUAAAUUGUUUCUCGUUUCCUUGCUUUUAGACGAAAUUGGUUCACGGUCACCGAGAAUGUUCAAAGUUUAAGGAAGAUCGUUUGAAAUGGACAAACGACUCUCUCUCUCUCUCUCUCUCUCUAGCGAUAUAUAUAUAUAUAUAUAGAUGGCGUAAGGAAGUGGUAAGGAGAACGAACAGCUUGUUUUCUACUCGUCGAUAAAUCUGCGGCUUCUUAUCUAUCAGCAGAAGAUUACAGCGAUCGUCCGGCGAUGUUGUAACAGCUAACAGCCAAUGAUAUAUUGGACGAACGAACAUUGCUAGACAUUUCUUCAAUGACGAGUGUACCAUGUGAUCUAAACAUACGACGACACGUUCCUCGAACGUCAUCACUUCGACCCGUGAUCCUCGGGCACAUUGGUCGCACAGUGUUGUCAAAUUCAACCUCGAGGAACUUACGCAUUGGUAAAUAUUAUUUACGCGCAUAAGUAGUACGUUCGGUUUAAUAAGACAGAGCUGCUGCACGAGCCGAGCUGUCAUUGUAAAUAAAUUAUACAUAAAUCAAUGAACGAAUCCACUCUCGUCCCGUUGCUUUAUCUCAAAUGGAAUCAAAGGACUCGUAAAGCUGUUUCCUGAUACACAAAGAAUAUUUAGACACGGCUGACUCGCAAUUAUGAAUCGUAAUAAUGCUAAAUUAAAUAAACAUUUGUUGUACAGAGCCUAGAGAAGUUUUUCUAAAGGUCGUGUACUUUGAUCGAAGGAUGUAGAAGGUUUCAACGAGAUCUUUUAAUCAAUCGAGGCUGAUUUAAUUUAGUCGAGAGUUUCGAGAUCGGAAACACGGUAAAAGUUUCCCUGUCGUUUGUACCUUAACGAUUAAAACUUCAAAAUACUUGGGCUGCUGAGCAACGCAAACUCGUAGGCUGACACACCGGCCGCACACCUACGUGUUUCUAAAUAAGUCUUAUUCGUAGGUUGGCUGCACCGUGGAAGCGAAACUUAUAUCUUCCUCGAUCUAUCCGUCCGCCAAACCAUUCUUGCUCGUAUUAUUAUCUAAACGCGAAUCUUCACCGCCAGCGAAGAAAACAACUCUCGUAACGUUGCGAACCCCGCCCAUCGCACUUUUCAUCAUUGAGGAGCAGCUACGGGUGAGCACUCGGCGACACCCUGCAGGAUGCUGCAGCUGAAAAUCCUCUCAAGCACUGCAAUCGCCGGCAGGAGUUCCCCCCGAGUAUGUAACCGGUCCCAAACACAUUUGCCCGCUUUGGUCUUACGCCACAGACUAUACUCUAUGCAGCACAUAAAUCCCGCAUGAAACCGGGCUUUACCAUGGCUACGACCCUAGUGCCAAGGUAUUACGAUUCACCGCGUACUACUAGACCGUGUCUACGGUGACACGUACAUCUUUGAAUUAGUAAAAACCAUUAGUUUGUUUACAAGACGUAUCAAAGUUAUUGAUGUAGUUAUUGGAUGAAUGGAUAUUGGUUAGAUUCACGUCGAUUCAUCGCAACUAUAUUACAUAUAUCUUGAUUCUUGUUUAACCGAAAGUUACUCUUCCGUGUAACAUGUGGCACCGCUUGUGUCGAUACGUAAACGCACGUAUACACACGAUACUCGAGUGAAAAACACGUGCAUAUAGGUUAUGUACGCGGUACGCGAGAAAGAGACGAUGAGAGAAACCGAGCGUAGAAGUAAAGAGACAGGAACAAGUGUAAAGAGAAGGAGAGAAGCAAAGAAGACAGUAAGCUAGUGAACGAGCAACAGAGAAAGAGAGACUAUAAGGACUACUGCCGUUUUAUUGGCAGAGGUGAACGACACUGCCUACUGCAAGGUGGAUGCCUGUAUUUCGCAUAACCGCUCGUCGUUGGAACGUGCUAUGAGUUUAUGGGUCACUACGUACUGUUUUCAAGCACCUUCUUACGAAAAUAGUAUGAAUUCGUUGAAUCGAAAAUAUGUUGACAUCGAAAAGUCGCCAAUGUUUGCCUUUAUUAUGCUUUGUUGUUGUGCCUCGUAGUUAAAAAAAAAAAAAAAACAUCAUUACAUCAUCUAAUAUCGAUAUUUCUUGUAAAAAUAAUAAUCGAUAAAAUAAAUGUUCUCGCGUUACAAGCAUGCUCAAGACGAUAACAAUUACCAAAUAGCUGACUUACAUUAAAACACGCACACGUUGUAUACACCUCUUAAUUUCAAUGCAUACACAUACCCCUAUGGGAUUACCACAUAAACGUGCAGCAACCUUUUUGAAAAUUAAGAAUUCAUUUCACGUACAACUUCUAACUGCAAAAGAUUGUACAGGUUAUGUAAGAGCAAUUCGAAGAACGAACAACAGAGGGGAACGGCCUGAUCAACAAGAGUGGAUUCUGAAUUUAAGAACCUGAUUUCGUUAACAUUUGCUUAACGACAUACCAAUCAACAAGAUGAAACAUCAGAGCGAGCAAUAACAAUAUAUGACGUACAGUAACACGCACAUAACGUGACAGAGAUUUAUAAAAACAGUGUAUGUAAAAAUACAUACAUAUGUACAUACAUUUAAAUUUUAGUUUUUAAUUCAUGUAGAAUUAUGUGACUGCUUCCUAAACUCAAUAAUGAGCAAUAUUUGCAAUUAAAUUUUUCAGAAAAUCGCCUCUGUAAAACAAAAAAUUUAUCCAUAUUUUGCGUUAUGGUCAUCGGCAGUUAUACACGAAAUUUAUAUUGCAGGAAAAUCGGUCGAGUAACGUGAACUGACCUCUGCUUUGCCGCUCCUCAUCGAUUUUCUGAACAUACGUCAAUACGAAGUACGCCAGACACGUAUUCAUGGAAUUAAAUACUACCUUCUUUUUCAAUAGUCGAUAAAUAGAAAUUUCUGUCAGUUUGUAUAGCAGCCAUGUUAAAUAUGUAAGGAAUGAGAAAUAAGAUAUUUUCGGUACAAACGUGCUUAUCUCUAAAUAUUUUGAGGUUAGCUUCGGUAAUUUUACGUUAUCUUUAUAUCAAGCAAUCUAAUGUAUAAUAUGCGAAAGCAAUGUAAACUGCGUAUUACUUAAUGCUUUAUCUCACAUUGAAUAUUAAAUAUUAAUAUUGUAUUGUGUUAUGUUCAAUGUAUUUCUACAAAAUUUGUAUCAACUAUGAAGAAUUCAUUUGAUACACUCAUUUAAUUAUUUGAUCAUACAAUUAGUAAAGAGAAAUGUGAGAAUUAUAUAAAAAAGAAUUUAAAAAAGAUUAAAAUGAAAUGUAUCUCAGAAAUGUAUAUGUUGAAAUCAUUAAUGCAUCACCUGGUAACUUUGUUUACCACACCAGGGUAAAAUUCCAUUUCAUCUGUAUAUUAUGAUUGCUCAAUAAAAUUACAAAUAUAUUGCCAA